rnacentral:lncRNA from 1 species
AAAUGCUAUAAUAGCUAUACCUAAAUUUUUCACCAACUAAACAAGGUCUAAAUAGAGGCCUUACAAAAAAAAACAGGAGAAGCAACCUAAUCUACCCCCCAGCCCUUCCUGAUCCCAACCCCACUCUCUCUCUCUUGCCUCACACUCUCACCACUCUCACUCCUCCCCUUUGAUGAGGCGAUGAUGGGCCCUCCACCAUUGCCGACCUCAUCCCCUCCAUCUCCCUCGUCCACGACCCCUCAUCGCCAACCGACCACGCUCCCUCCGCCACCGCCGAGCUCGCCACGAUGCCACUUGAGGUCACACCAGACUGCUUCCCCUCCUCAGCCCUCGACCGUGUCCCUACGC